rnacentral:rRNA from 1 species
GACCUCAAAUCAGGUAGGACUACCCGCUGAACUUAAGCAUAUCAAUAAGCGGAGGAAAAGAAACUAACAAGGAUUCCCCUAGUAACUGCGAGUGAAGCGGGAAAAGCUCAAAUUUAAAAUCUGACGGUCUUUGGCCGUCCGAGUUGUAAUCUAGAGAAGUGUUAUCCGCGCUGGACCGUGUACAAGUUUCCUGGAAUGGAGCAUCAUAGAGGGUGAGAAUCCCGUCUUUGACACGGACUGCCAGGGCUUUGUGAUGCGCUCUCAAAGAGUCGAGUUGUUUGGGAAUGCAGCUCAAAAUGGGUGGUAAAUUCCAUCUAAAGCUAAAUAUUGGCGAGAGACCGAUAGCGAACAAGUACCGUGAGGGAAAGAUGAAAAGAACUUUGGAAAGAGAGUUAAACAGUACGUGAAAUUGCUGAAAGGGAAACGCUUGAAGUCAGUCGCAUUGUCUGAGAAUCAACCUUGCUUUUGCUGGGCUUACUUCUUAGAUGAUGGGUCAGCAUCAAUUUUGACCGUUGGAUAAAGUCUGAAGGAAUGUGGCAUCUUCGGAUGUGUUAUAGCCUUUGGUCGCAUACAACGAUUGGGAUUGAGGAACUCAGCACGCCGAAAGGCCGGGUACUUGUACCACGUUCGUGCUUAGGAUGCUGGCAUAAUGGCUUUAAUCGACCCGUCUUGAAACACGGACCAAGGAGUCUAACAUGCCUGCGAGUAUUUGGGUGGAAAACCCGAGUGCGUAAUGAAAGUGAAAGUUGAGAUCCCUGUCAUGGGGAGCAUCGACGCCCGGACCAGACCUUUUGUGACGGAUCUGCGGUAGAGCAUGUAUGUUGGGACCCGAAAGAUGGUGAACUAUGCCUGAAUAGGGUGAAGCCAGAGGAAACUCUGGUGGAGGCUCGUAGCGAUUCUGACGUGCAAAUCGAUCGUCAAAUUUGGGUAUAGGGGCGAAAGACUAAUCGAACCAUCUAGUAGCUGGUUCCU